rnacentral:rRNA from 1 species
AUUGAACGCUGGCGGCAGGCCUAACACAUGCAAGUCGAACGAGUGGCGGACGGGUUCGUAAUGUCUGGGCACCUGCCCGAUGGCGGGGGAUAACUACUGGAAACGGUAGCUAAUACCGCAUACCAUCGGCUGUGCCCAGCUGGGAUUAGCUAGCAGCUGGGGUAACGGCUCACCUAGGCGACGAGCCCUAGCUGGUCUGAGAGGCUGACCAGCCAAGCAGGAACUGAGAGACGGGCCAGAAUGCUACGGGAGGGAGCAGUGGGGAAUAUGGCACAAUGGGCUCAAGGCUGAUGCAGCGACGCCGCGUGAGGGAUGAAGGCUUGCGGGUUGUAAACCUCUUGCGGGAAAGGGGUAUGUGCAGAAGAAGCGCCGGCUAACUACGUGCCAGCAGCCGCGGUAAUAC